rnacentral:rRNA from 1 species
UACGUAGGCAGCGAGCGUUGUUCGGAGUUACUGGGCGUAAAGGGUGUGUAGGCGGUCCUUUAAGUUUGGUGUGAAAUCUCCCGGCUCAACUGGGAGGGUGCGCCGGAUACUGAGGGGCUAGAGUGCGGGAGAGGAGAGUGGAAUUCCUGGUGUAGCGGUGAAAUGCGUAGAUAUCAGGAGGAACACCGGUGGUGUAAACGGCUCUCUGGACCGCAGCUGACGCUGACAGCGCGAAAGCCAGGGGAGCAAACGGG